UACCCGUGUAGUCCCAGCCGUAAACUAUGCGCGUUAGGUGUAUCGGUGACCACGAGUUACCGAGGUGCCGAAGGGAAACCGUGAAACGUGCCGCCGUGGGAAGUACGGUCGCAAGGCUAGAAACUUAAAGGAAUUGGCGGGGAGCACCACAACGGGUGGAGCCUGCGGUUUAAUUGGACUCAACGCCGGGAAGCUCACCGGAUAAGACAGCGGAAUGAUUGCCGGGCUGAAGACUCUGCAUGACUAGCUG
rnacentral:rRNA from 1 species